GACGAACGCUGGCGGCGUGCUUAACACAUGCAAGUCGAACGGAAAGGCCUCUUUCGGGGGGUACUCGAGUGGCGAACGGGUGAGUAACACGUGAGUAACCUGCCCUUGACUUUGGGAUAACUUCAGGAAACUGGGGCUAAUACCGGAUAGGAGCUCCUGCUGCAUGGUGGGGGUUGGAAAGUUUCGGCGGUUGGGGAUGGACUCGCGGCUUAUCGGCUUGUUGGUGGGGUAGUGGCUUACCAAGGCUUUGACGGGUAGCCGGCCUGAGAGGGUGACCGGCCGCAUUGGGACUGAGAUACGGCCCAGACUCCGACGGGAGGCAGCAGUGGGGAAUAUUGCACAAUGGGUGGAAGCCUGAUGCAGCAACGCCGUGUGCGGGAGGACGGCCUUCGGGUUGUAAACCGCUUUCGCUCAUGACGAAGCUUUGUGUGACGGUAGUGGGUAAAGAAGCACCGGCUAACUACGUG
rnacentral:rRNA from 1 species